rnacentral:lncRNA from 1 species
AGCUCAAGUGAUCUGCCUGUUUAGGCCUUCUAAAGUGCCGGGAUUACAGGCGUAAGCCAUUGCACCUGGCCUCACACUGGAAUUUUCUACGCACCUGAUGAGGAGGAAUAUGUACCAAGGAACAGUAAGUGCUAUGUCAAAGGAGAAGAAGAAAUGACAACAUAUUGCUGGAAGGGAAUGCAAGUCAAACAAUAAGUGGAAGACUCUUGAGCUUAGUCACCCAGGUUAUGACAUGAAGGUCAGUUUGGUCUCUCUCUUCAUUUCCUCCCGCCCCACGGGGAGUCAUCUGCUUGAGGAAGGAAAGACACAUUGCCGGGCUACAGCGCAGGGCCCAUUGUCAUGCUGAGCCACCCUUGCUUCCCUGCAGGCCUCCUGAGUCGCAGCCUAGGAAUGUAGCAAGAGUAGGAUUUCCAGCUCCUAGAAGACAGAAAUCAUGUUGUUCAUCUUUUGCAUCCUUCCCAGAAUCUAGUGGAGCACUGAGCAUCAUGUGAGUAGUCAAUAAACAAUUGUUGAGUCAUGUUGCAUUGAAUUAAAAAUCUCCACUUUCCCGGUGUUAAUUGAAAAAGUAAUGGAAAAUACCCCUGCUUCUGUAGUCUGAGACUAUUAUCAAAAGUAAUUAUUAUCAGAUGAACUAACAUUACAGGGAAGGAAAAGCCAAAAACCAAAUUAAAUAGCACAAAGAAACGUUAGAAGAAAAACAAUGUCCCUUUAACCAGUUCUGUCUGAGCUGCAGAAAGGGGAUGUUUGGUGAAUGUUUGGUAAAUGUUACAACACCCGUGAUCUCUUGUGAUUGUCACAUGUACCAGCAGCAUAGAGCAGACAGAUUUUUAAAAUAUAUAUAAAUAUAUAUAUUUAUUUAAAGUCUGAAGUUCUAAUAAAAAGUUCUGUGUUUAUUUUAUACCAUUUCUUUGAAGUUUUAGUAAGCUGGUGUGUGAAAGUAAUUUUCCACAUCUAUGACUAAUUUCUAAAUACUAAUUCAGUGCUUUAGACAUUGGAUUUUACUACGUAUUCUCCUCCCUAUUGUAAACCUUGUGAGUGUCAUGUGCAGGAAGAAAGACAGGGAGAACAGUGUCUUCUGUGCACUUUAGCAGUAUCACAUGGGCUUCCUUGAUCCAGCAGGCUUGGGCUUCCUAUUCGAAAACUGCGCCCUCAUAUUUUUCUAGACGAUGCAUUUACUAGCUUCUGGUUUUUAAAAUCAACUUGUUAAUUUUUUUGUCUUUAUAGUUAAAUUAUUAAAUCUUUCACUUUGUACAUUUUCUUGUGUCUUUCCCAGUAUCUAGUGGAGUCAUAAGCAUCCUGUUUAUAUUCAGUACACAAUUGUUAAAUCAUGUUGACUUGAAUUUAAAAUUGAAAAGGAAUUUUAAAAUACUAUUUUUUGUUUCCAGGGUGAAAGUUUUGCACAGGAUCUAUUAAAUAAUAUUAUAAAAUGGUUAAGCAAAAUAGCAGUUUUACUAAAACUGGGCAUUGCAUAUAUAUACAGUCAGGCCUUGCUAUUUCCUGUAACAUUUGUCUUAUAUCUUUUACAUAAAGAUGUCUCUGGAAAUACACCAAGCACAUUUAAAACAGUGUUUGGAAUUUUUUGUUGGGUAAGAAUGUUUAGGUAAUACUAUCUGGACUCUUUUUUCUUCUGUUACCUUAGCUUUUUAAAAAACAUUUUUUUUUUUAAGUUCUGGGGUA